CGCCCGGCGCGCACGGGCGCGCGCCAGGCCGCCAGCCAAUGGGAGAGGUCAGCGCCGCGCGCGUCACGCGGCAGGCCGCGCGGGGCAAAGUUCGUGGUCAGGGAGCGCGCGGGGCGUGGCGCGGGCGGGAGCGGCCCCGCAGGGCAGCGCGGAGCGGGGCCGCAGCCUUGGGUGUUUCGGGGCGGUUUUGCUGCCUCCCUGCGCCGUGGUGUGCUCAGCCUUUCUAGGCCUCUCCAGAGCACGCCAUCGCUUCACGCCUUCGAGCAUCAAGUGCAGGCUCCCGGGGCCGCCACCGGUGUCCAGCGCCUCCUUUCCCAGGACAGCAUGCGGGGUCUGCAGGAACAGACACCUAAGCCCUUGAGGAUCCUUGGGCACCCCUGGGUGCUGAGGCUGCAGCAGGAGGGCGUUGCUGCUGAACUCUAAAAGGGCAUCCGCAUCACUAGCCCGCUUGGCCGGAAGAGUGGCUCCAACUGCCCAUCGGUCACUACAGGACACUAAAGGAGAGACGUGUCACAGGGAAGAAAAUAACUUGAAAUUAGAGCAUUAAUUAAAGCAGUGCUUCUGAGAUAAACUCAUUAUUAAACGGGUAUUUGGGGCAACAGAAGGCUUAUGUCCUGGUUUCACACCGCAGCCAUUUCUCCUGCUUUCUGUGUGGUCACCCUGCGGCAC